GUAGGUGGCAAGCGUUGUCCGGGAAUUAUUGGGGCGUAAAGCGCGCGCAGGCGGUCCUUUAAGGUCUGAUGUGAAAGCCCACGGGCUCAACCGUGGAGGGUCAUUGGAAACUGGGGGACUUGAGUACAGAAGAGGAAAGCGGAAUUCCACGUGUAGCGGUGAAAUGCGUAGAGAUGUGGAGGAACACCAGUGGCGAAGGCGGCUUUCUGGUCUGUAACUGACGCUGAGGCGCGAAAGCGUGGGGAGCAAACAGGAUUAGAUACCCUGGUAGUCCACGCCGUAAACGAUGAGUGCUAUGUGUUAGGGGGUUUCCGCCCCUUAGUGCUGCAGCUAACGCAUUAAGCACUCCGCCUGGGGAGUACGGCCGCAAAGGCUG
rnacentral:rRNA from 1 species